rnacentral:rRNA from 1 species
CGUCUAUAUACGUAUAGCAUAUCAAUAAGCGGAGGAAAAGAAACUAACAAGGAUUCCCCUAGUAACGGCGAGUGAAGCGGGAAGAGCUCAAAUUUGAAAUCUUAAAGGGUUUCCCUUUACGAAUUGUAGUUUAAAGAAGUGUUUUCUGUUGGAGUUUCGGUAAAAGUUCUUUGGAAUAGGACAUCAUAGAGGGUGAGAAUCCCGUAUUUGACCGUUACUUUCCAGCUGUGUGAUACACUUUCAAAGAGUCGGAUUGUUUGGGAAUGCAGUCCAAAAUGGGUGGUAAAUUUCAUCUAAAGCUAAAUAUUGGCGAGAGACCGAUAGCGAACAAGUACCGUGAGGGAAAGAUGAAAAGAACUUUGAAAAGAGAGUUAAACAGUACAUGAAAUUGUCAAAAGGGAAGCGUUUGACACCAGUGUUGUUUAGUUGAAAAUCAAUUCAAUAGUUUUUGAUUCUAGGUAGUAUUGACUUCAUCAGCUUGCUGCCUUUCUUUCAUGAAACUUUCUUGAAUGCACUUUUCAGUUAACAAGUCAACAUCAAUUUCUUUUGUUGUAAAAGGGUAUAGAGGAAGGUGGCUUCAGCUUUCGGAUAAAGUGUUUAUAGCCUUGUACCUCUGCAGUCGGAGAGAUUGAGGUCUGCAGCGUAGAUCCUUCGGGGUUAGAUACGUUUGUGCUAAGUUAUAGCUUUGUCAUAGACAACAUUGUUGACUAUGAUUUAAUCAUUGUAGCUUACUCGCUUAUGCUAUUUUACCUACGCUUAGGAUGUUGACGAGACUGUCGAUCU